rnacentral:rRNA from 1 species
GACGAACGCUGGCGGCGUGCUUAACACAUGCAAGUCGAACGGAAAGGCCCUGCUUUUGUGGGGUGCUCGAUUGGCGAACGGGUGAGUAACACGUGAGUAACCUGCCCUUGACUUUGGGAUAACUUCAGGAAACUGGGGCUAAUACCGGAUAGGAGCUCCUGCUGCAUGGUGGGGGUUGGAAAGUUUCGGCGGUUGGGGAUGGACUCGCGGCUUAUCAGCUUGUUGGUGGGGUAGUGGCUUACCAAGGCUUGGACGGGUAGCCGGCCUGAGAGGGUGACCGGCCACAUUGGGACUGAGAUACGGCCCAGACUCCUACGGGAGGCAGCAGUGGGGAAUAUUGCACAAUGGGCGGAAGCCUGAUGCAGCAACGCCGCGUGCGGGAUGACGGCCUUCGGGUUGUAAACCGCUUUCGCCUGUGACGAAGCGUGAGUGACGGUAAUGGGUAAAGAAGCACCGGCUAACUACGUG